UACGUAGGGAGCAAGCGUUGUCCGGAAUCAUUGGGCGUAAAGCGCGCGUAGGUGGCUUCGUAAGUCCGUUGUGAAAGUCAAAGGCUCAACCUUUGAAAGCCGAUGGAUACUGUGAAGCUAGAGUACGGAAGGGGCGAGUGGAAUUCCUGGUGUAGCGGUGGAAUGCGCAGAUAUCAGGAGGAACACCAAUAGCGAAGGCAGCUCGCUGGGACGUUACUGACACUGAGGCGCGAAAGCUAGGGGAGCAAACAGG
rnacentral:rRNA from 1 species